UACGUAGGGUGCAAGCGUUGUCCGGAAUUAUUGGGCGUAAAGAGCUCGUAGGCGGUUUGUCGCGUUCUGCUGUGAAAACGCGGAGGCUCAACCUCGGCGCCUGCAGUGGGUACGGGCAGACUAGAGUGCGGUAGGGGAGAUUGGAAUUCCUGGUGUAGCGGUGGAAUGCGCAGAUAUCAGGAGGAACACCGGAUGGCGAAGGCAGAUCUCUGGGCCGUAACUGACGCUGAGGAGACGAAAGCGUGGGGAGCAACGG
rnacentral:rRNA from 1 species